AGUUCUGGGGGACCAGGCUGAGGGCUGGGGGCUCAGAAGGCAGCGUCUGGGGCGUCUCCACCAUGGCUUGGGCUCUGCUCCUUGUCACCCUCCUCACUCAGGACACAGGAUCCUGGGCCCAGUCUGGCCUGACUCAGCCUCCCUCAGUGUCCGGGAAUCUGGGACAGACGGUCACCAUCUCUUGUGCUGGAACCAGCAGUGACAUAGGGAAAUAUAACUAUGUCAGCUGGUACCAACAGCUCCCAGGCACGGCCCCCAAAACCCUGAUUUAUGAUGUCAAUAAACGACCCUCAGGGAUCCCUGAUCGCUUCUCUGGCUCCAAGUCUGGCAACACGGCCUCCCUGACCAUCUCUGGGCUCCAGGCUGAGGACGAGGCCGAUUAUUACUGUAGUUCAUAUAGAAGUGGUAACACUAUCGCCCUGUGUCGAGUGUCCCCAAGACCACAGGAAACUACUUUCGCCAUUAAGAAGACCCACAAGACUCAGUAG